UUUAGUUUAGAAAAAGUUUAUUACGCUAUCUUGAUGAGGUAGAAUUCUUAGGACUAAAU
rnacentral:tRNA from 1 species